AGGAGCCUCCUCCUCCCGCCGGCGCGGCGCCUGUGCCCUGGUCCCGGUGUCCCCGCUCGGUGCCACCGAAGGAUCUAGGGGCUCGGGCCGGGGAGGGGGUGGAGGGGGGAGUGGAGGCGCGAUACGAACCCGUGGGAGCCUCCCCAACCCCGCAGUCCCAGCGGCAAACUGUGCUUGGUCGGACGGAUGCCCGCGCGGAGGUAAGAGCCCUUUGCGGGAUUCGCCCGUAUCCCUGUGCCCCGCCCCCCGCCUGGGACUACGCGGGCCCCAAGGAGCGGGGCGGAGGAUGGUGUGCUGAAAACCGGCUGGGCAGCCCCGCUGGGCCUCCGGUGGGGUGGGGGGCGCACUGUCGCUCCAGGGCUCUGGGGAGUACGAGGCCUGGGCGGUGGGUAUGGAGGGCAAGUGCGCCCAGCCGAGGCCCAGUAAGAUCGCCGGCCUUUCCCAAAGGCGUUUGGCUCACCCAUCUCUCCUCGGCUAGCCUCUUGGUCUCCCCUUCUGUGUUUCUGGCUCUGGCUCUUCCUUGGCUCCUCUCAGAUUUUGGCUGGAGGGGAUCCUAGUUAGAAUCUAGCUCAGCCAGGUCCUGAGGCCCCUCGUGAAGAGCCGGAGAUGUGUGUGUGGCUCAGCUGUUAGGGGAAUCAGCUGUGCCCACUCACUCCCCCAUCCCAUUCCCAGAGCCUAAAAUAAAGUCCUGGGCCAAAUGGUGGUUGCUGGGGCGGAGUGGGCUGGGCUGGGCAGUGACUUAGUGGCAGUGCAGGGGCCAUACGAGUUCUUUUGUGUGUGUGUGUGCGGGGGGACCUCUUGCUGUCCCUGCUUGCCUAGUUCCUGGAUUCCGUGCGGUGACAGGUGUUAGCUUGUACCUAGCUCAUACCUCACCCAGUGCACUGCCAAGUUGAAAGGGCACGGGGGCUUCUUCUGAGUGGCCCAAAUCUUGUCCCCUAUACCUGCCUUUCACUCUCAGGUGCUUGCUUUGAGGUCAUUUAUGUACCCAUGCUUUACAUACUCUUCUAACAACCACAAUAUUUGGCUUCUAAAUUCACAGCAAGUUAGAAGUAACAAAUUAGAAGGGGGAAGAAGGCCUUUUCCCUGCAGCUGUACUGCUCCCAUUGUGCGUUCCUUCCCCUCUUCUCUGUGUUGUCCUGGGAUUUCUCACUUCUGGGAUUUUACUCAUGCUGAAUUGCCAGCCUACUUGAGUACAUUCCUUCCCAACUCCAAUUGGCCAAACUUUGUCCAGUGCCUCCUCCUCCAGGAGGCCUACCCAGAUUUUCUCCACAUCUCUCCCUCCCUUGACACCUUCAGCAGAGGGUCAGCUGCACAUCUGAGUACUUAGUAAAUACUCAGUAAAUGAAGUCAUUUCUGGAUGAAUGAAUAAAAAAAUCAUACAUACACAUAAAUCUAACAAGCACUGAGAUGGUCGAAUUUUUGUUUUUAAUAUUGAUUUAAAUAUAACAGCUCCCAGGGGCUCCUCUCCUCUGUUCCAUCACAUAUGAAGUCUCUCACUUGCAAGCAAGAACCAGCCUGAAAACGUUGGUUUUGUGUGCUCUGUUAAAAAAA
rnacentral:lncRNA from 1 species